AAUCAACGCUGGCGGCGUGCCUCAGACAUGCAAGUCGAACGAUUAAAGCUCUCUUCGGAGAGUGUAUAGAGUGGCGCACGGGUGAGUAACACGUAAGUAAUCUACCUUUGAGUGGGGAAUAACCCGGGGAAACCCGAGCUAAUACCGCAUAAUGCAGCGGCACCGCAAGGUGACAGUUGUUAAAGGAGCAAUCCGCUUAAAGAGGAGCUUGCGGCAGAUUAGCUAGNGGUAAGGUAAUGGCUUACCAAGGCUUCGAUCUGUAUCCGGCCUGAGAGGGCGGUCGGACACACUGACACUGAAUAACGGGUCAGACUCCUACGGGAGGCAGCAGUCGGGAAUUUUGGGUCAAUGGGCGAAAGCCUGACCCAGCAACGCCGCGUGAAGGAUGAAGUAUUUCGGUAUGUAAACUUCGAAAGAAUGGGAAGAAUCAAUGACGGUACCAUUUAUAAGGUCCGGCUAACUACGUGCCAGCCGCCGCCGUAAG
rnacentral:rRNA from 1 species